rnacentral:rRNA from 1 species
UACGGGGGGAGCAAGCGUUGUUCGGAUUUACUGGGCGUAAAGGGCGUGAGUAGGCGGUCAAGUAAGUGGGAUGUGAAAUCCCUCGGCUACACCCGAGGACCUGCAUCCCAAACUGCUUGGCUUGAGUAUGGGAGAGGAUGGAGGGAAUUCCGUGGUGUAGCGGUGAAAUGCGCAGAUAUCAGGAGGAACACCGAUGGCGAAGGCAGGUCUCCUGGGCCACUACUGACGCUGAGAAGCGAAAGCAUGGGGAGCGAACAGGAUUAGACUACCGUU